rnacentral:rRNA from 1 species
AACGUGCCCUGUUUCGGGGGAUAACUACUCGAAAGAGUGGCUAAUACCGCAUACGCCCUACGGGGGAGAGGGGGGGAUUCUUCGGAACCUCUCCUAUUGGAGGGCCGAUUCGGAUUAGCUAGUUGGUGGGGUAAAGGCUCACCAAGGCAACGAUCCGUAGCUGGUUUGAGAGAACAGCCACACUGGGACUGAGACACGGCCCAGACUCCUACGGGAGGCAGCAGUGGGGAAUUUUGGACAAUGGGGGAAACCCUGAUCCAGCCAUCCCGCGUGUAUGAUGAAGGCCUUCGGGUUGUAAAGACUUUUGGGAAAGAAAAGGAUCUCCUAAUACGAGAUCUGCUGACGGUAUCUGCAGAAUAAGCACCGGCUAACUCUGCCAGCAGCCGCGGUAAUACGGGGUGCAAGCGUUAAUCGGAAUUACUGGGCGUAAAGCGUGUGUAGGCGGU